rnacentral:rRNA from 1 species
GAUGAACGCUGGCGGCGUGCCUAAUACAUGCAAGUCGAGCGAACAGACGAGGAGCUUGCUCCUUUGACGUUAGCGGCGGACGGGUGAGUAACACGUGGGUAACCUACCUAUAAGACUGGGAUAACUUCGGGAAACCGGAGCUAAUACCGGAUAAUAUUUCGAACCGCAUGGUUCGAUAGUGAAAGAUGGCUUUGCUAUCACUUAUAGAUGGACCUGCGCCGUAUUAGCUAGUCGGUAAGGUAACGGCUUACCAAGGCAACGAUACGUAGCCGACCUGAGAGGGUGAUCGGCCACACUGGAACUGAGACACGGUCCAGACUCCUACGGGAGGCAGCAGUAGGGAAUCUUCCGCAAUGGGCGAAAGCCUGACGGAGCAACGCCGCGUGAGUGAUGAAGGUCUUCGGAUCGUAAAACUCUGUUAUUAGGGAAGAACAAACGUGUAAGUAACUGUGCACGUCUUGGCGGUACCUAAUCAGAAAGCCACGGCUAACUACGUG